AACGAACGCUGGCGGCAUGCCUAACACAUGCGAGUCGAACGAUUGCCUUCGGGUGAUAGUGGCGCACGGGUGCGUAACGCGUGGGAAUCUGCCCUUAGGUUCGGAAUAACAGCUGGAAACGGCUGCUAAUACCGGAUGAUAUCGCGAGAUCAAAGAUUUAUCGCCUGAGGAUGAGCCCGCGUUGGAUUAGGUAGUUGGUGGGGUGAAGGCCUACCAAGCCGACGAUCCAUAGCUGGUCUGAGAGGAUGAUCAGCCACACUGGGACUGAGACACGGCCCAGACUCCUACGGGAGGCAGCAGUGGGGAAUAUUGGACAAUGGGCGCAAGCCUGAUCCAGCAAUGCCGCGUGAGUGAUGAAGGCCCUAGGGUUGUAAAGCUCUUUUACCCGGGAAGAUAAUGACUGUACCGGGAGAAUAAGCCCCGGCUAACUCCGUG
rnacentral:rRNA from 1 species